UUUUAACUAUUUUGCUGCUGCUUCUUCCUUAAUUUCCUUGUGAUGGUUGUUGUCUGCAAAUCUCACCUUAUAUGAAACUCGACCUCCAAACAGACCCAGCAGCUGAAGACCUCGCCACCGUCUACACCUUCCUCCAGAACUCUCUACACACGCAAAUGAACGAGAACGGAAGCGCCAAGAAGCGGCGUCGUAGAGACUCCGGCGGCAGCGAGAAGAAGAAGAAGGACCUCAAGGGAAUAAUCGCCUCCUUGUCGUUGCUCCAAGAGCAGGAGAAGCAGGACGAGCGCGACCACGACAGGGCAUCGAAUGACGACGCGUCGUUAAUAGAAGAGACGCACAAGGAGCGGAACAAGGCCAUGCUGGAGUACUACUCCGAUUUGCAGGAGUGCUACUCGGAGGUGGAAGAAUCCGAAACGAUGAAGCGGAGAAAAUCAAGCAGCGCAGCCUGUGCGGCGGUGGUGACGGCGGCGGUGUCGGCGAAAGCUGAAGGAGUCGAUCAAGUUAAGCCGGGAGUCGGGUCGGGUCACCAUCGGCGGCUGUGGGUCAAGGACAGGUCGAAAGCGUGGUGGGACGAAUGCAACCAACCGGAUUUUCCGGAAUCGGAAUUCAAAAAGGCGUUUCGGAUGGGGAAAUCCACGUUCGAUUUAAUAUGCGAGGAGCUCAACUCCGCCAUCGCGAAGGAGGACACGACGCUGCGGAACGCGAUUCCGGUGCGACAGAGAGUGGCAGUGUGCCUUUGGCGGCUGGCCACCGGCGACCCGCUCCGCCUCGUGUCGAAACGAUUCGGACUCGGCAUCUCGACCUGCCACAAGCUCGUCCUUGAGGUCUGCUCCGCGAUCCGGACGGUGCUGAUGCCCAAGUACCUGCAGUGGCCGGAGGAGAGCGCGGCGAGGAAAAUUAAAGACGAGUUCGAGGGUAUUUCGGGAAUUCCGAACGUUGCUGGGUCCAUGUACACGACGCAUAUACCCAUCAUCGCACCCAAAGUCAGCGUUGCUGCGUAUUUCAAUAAACGGCACACGGAGAGGAACCAGAAGACUUCGUACUCCAUUACUGUGCAGGGUGUGGUGGAUCCCUAGGGGCGUUUUUACCGAUGUGUGCAUCGGAUGGCCAGGAUCAAUGCCGGAUGAUCAGGUGCUGGAGAAAUCAGCGUUAAAUCAGAGGGCCAAUAAUGGUUUGCUGAAGAACGUGUGGAUUGUUGGGGGUGCUGGGUACCCUUUGAUGGACUGGGUGCUGGUGCCUUACACCCAGCAGAACCUAACGUGGACCCAGCACGCUUUCAACGAGAAGAUUGGGGAGAUUCAGAGUGUGGCCAGAGAUGCGUUUGCUAGGUUGAAAGGAAGGUGGUUUUGCUUGCAGAAGAGGACGGAGGUGAAGCUGCAGGACUUGCCGGUGGUUCUCGGGGCGUGCUGUGUUUUGCACAACAUUUGUGAGUUGAGGAAUGAGGAGAUGGAGCCCGAGCUCCGGUUCGAGCUCAUCGACGACGAAAUGGUCCCGGAGGUUCCUCUUAGGUCGACGAGCUCGAUGAAGGCUAGGGAUGCCAUUGCUCAUAAUCUAUUGCACCAUGGCCUUGCGGGCCCUAGUUUCCUUUAGGUCACACCGCUUGGCUCGUUACAUUUGCAAAUUACCGUCUGACACGUGCAAUGCAAAAAGCCGAGCGUCUCAAAAUUAUUAUUCUUUUGGUUAUUGGUUGUAAUUUGUGUGUAAGGGCUCUCUGUAAAAGGCAUACUUUGCCCCUCUACACAAAUGGAUGAAUUGUAUUUUGUAGUAGUCUUUUUAUAGGCUAAGUUAUAUACAUCAAGAACACAGAAUUGUAGCAUGA